rnacentral:rRNA from 1 species
CACGUAGGGCGCAAGCGUUGUCCGGAAUUAUUGGGCGUAAAGAGCUCGUAGGCGGUCUGUUGCGUCCGCUGUGAAAACUCGGGGCUUAACCCCGAGCCUGCAGUGGAUACGGGCAGACUAGAGGUAGGUAGGGGAGAAUGGAAUUCCCGGUGUAGCGGUGAAAUGCGCAGAUAUCAGGAGGAACACCGAUGGCGAAGGCAGGUCUCUGGGCCGAUACUGACGCUGAGGAGCGAAAGCGUGGGGAGCGAACAGGG